GCUGGAGUUCAGGAAUCAGGUGGA
rnacentral:siRNA from 1 species